rnacentral:rRNA from 1 species
GACGAACGCUGGCGGCGUGCUUAACACAUGCAAGUCGCACGGAGUGGCGAACGGGUGGGUAACACGUGGGUGACCUGCCCUGCACUUCGGGAUAAGCCUGGGAAACUGGGUCUAAUACCGGAUAGUGUGGGAUGGGCCCGCGGCCUAUCAGCUUGUUGGUGGGGUAAUGGCCUACCAAGGCGGCGACGGGUAGCCGGCCUGAGAGGGUGGACGGCCACAUGGGGACUGAGACACGGCCCAGACUCCUACGGGAGGCAGCAGUGGGGAAUAUUGCACAAUGGGCGGAAGUCUGAUGCAGCGACGCCGCGUGGGGGAUGACGGCCUUCCGGUUGGACACUCGCUUCACCUUCGAAGGGGUAGAUCGAGAAGAAGCAAAGGAUAAGUACGUGCAAGCAGCCGCGGUAAUUC